ensembl:lncRNA
GGAGAGGAGAGGAGAGGAGAGGAGAGGAGAGGAGAGGAGAGGCUGGCUUCCUUAUGGCACCCAAAGGUGCAAGGAGGUGCCUUAUGGGGCCCUAUGGUGCCCUAUGGGGCCCUAUGGCACCCUAUGGAUCCUUAUGGCUCCCUAUGGCACCCUAUGGCACCCUGUGGAUCCUUAUGGCUUCCUACGGGUCCCUAUGGAUCCUUAUGGCGCCCUAUGGAUCCUUAUGGCUCCCAAUGGGUUGCUAUGGAUCCUUAUGGCACCCAAAGGUGGAAGGAGGUGCCUUAUGGGGCCCUAUGGCACCCUAUGGGGCCCUAUGGCACCCUAUGGAUAUGUAUGGAUCCUUAUGGCACCCAAAGGUGGAAUGAGGUGGCUUAUGGGGCCCUAUGGUGCCCUAUGGAUCCUUAUGGCACCCAAAGGUGGAAGGAGGUGCCUUAUGGGGCCCUAUGGGACCCUACGAGGCCCUAUGGCACCCUAUGGAUCCUUAUGGCACCCUAUGGGGCCCUAUGGGGUCCUUAUGGCACCCAAAGGUGGAAUGAGGUGCCUUAUGGGGCCCUAUGGGAUCCUAUGGGGCCCUAUGGCACCCAAAGGUGGAAGGAGGUGGCUUAUGGGGCCCUAUGGUGCCCUAUGGGGCCCUCUGGCACCCUAUGGAUCCUUAUGGCUCCCUAUGGCACCCUAUGGCACCCUAUGGAUCCUUAUGGC